rnacentral:misc_RNA from 1 species
GAAAUGCGAUAAGUAAUGUGAAUUGCAGAAUUCAGUGAAUCAUCGAGUCUUUGAACGCACCUUGCGCUCCUUGGUAUUCCUUGAAGCAUGCCUGUUUGAGUAUCAUGAAAUCUUCAAAGUAAAUCUUUUGUUAACUCAAUUGGUUUCUACUUUGGUAUUGGAGGUCUUUGCAGCUUCACACCUGCUCCUCUUUGUUCAUUAGCUGGAUCUCAGUGUUAUGCUUGGUUCCACUCGGCGUGAUAAGUUAUCUAUCGCUGAGGACACUGUAAAAGGUGGCCAAGGUAAAUGCAGAUGAACCGCUUCUAAUAGUCCAUUGACUUGGACAAUACUUUUAUGAUCUGAUCUCAAAUCAGGUAGGACUACCCGCUGAACUUAAGC